UUAACCCUGACAAAAGUUGAAAUGAAGUAAUCCUAAAGAAAUGAAUUUUCCUUUAAUUAACGCGAGAGAGAAAAACAGAGGGUUCAAGAGUAAAAAACAGAGUCCAUCACAUCAAUGGAGCUAACGAGUCCCCUCCGCCUCCCGCUCUUCCUCUUCUCCGCGGCAUUGAUGUUGAAUUCGGCUAUUUCGCUCGGAAUCAACUACGGCCAGCUCGGAAACAACCUCCCCCACCCCGAAUCAGUGGUCCCGCUCGUCAAAUCCAUCGGCGCCCGCAGCGUUAAGCUCUACGACGCCGAUCCCCGCGUCCUCAAGGCCUUCGCCAACUCCGGCGUCGAAUUCAUUGUCAGCCUCGGCAACGAGGACCUCGUCCGCAUGCGCGACCCCAAGCAGGCCGCCGCGUGGGUGAAAUCGAACGUCCAGUGCUACCUCCCGGCCACCAAAAUCACCUUCAUCGCCAUCGGUAACGAGGUCCUCACCCUCAACGACUCCGCCCUCUCCAACAGCCUCCUCCCGGCGAUGGAAUCCGUCCACGCCGCCCUCGUCUCUCUAAACCUCGACAAGCAGGUCGCCGUCACCACCGCGCACAACCUCGCCAUCCUAGACGUCUCCUACCCGCCCUCCGCCGGCCAAUUCCGCCGCGAUCUGGCGCAGAAGCUCUCCUGCAUCCUCGAAUUCCACAGUAAAGUCGGAUCCCCCUUUUUCAUCAACGCCUACCCCUUCUUCGCGUACAAGUCCAAUCCGAAGCAGGUGCAGCUCGAUUUCGUGCUGUUCGGGCCGGGCUCGGGGAUAAUCGACCAGGGAUCGGGCUUACACUACUACAACAUGUUCCACGCGCAGGUCGACGCGGCGUACGCGGCGAUGGAGAAGCUAGGGCAUAAGGAUGUGUGUUUGCAGAUCUCGGAGACGGGGUGGCCGUCGAAGGGGGACGCGGACGAGGCGGGGGCGACGCCGGAGAACGCGCGGCUGUACAACGGGAAUUUGAUGAGGCUGAAGAAGGGGACGCCGAUGAGGCCGAAUGCGGACUUGAAUGUGCACGUGUUUGCCUUGUUUAAUGAGAAUCAGAAGCCCGGCCCGACCUCUGAGAGGAAUUUCGGGCUGUUCAAGCCCGAUGGCACCCCGGUUUAUAAUUUGGGGUUUAAUACCACGGGAUUGGGAAUGGGAUCGGUGAGUGGUAACUCUUCCGUGUCGUAUGGCGGCACGUCCUCGCCGGAGGGCCCCUCCGACGGCUACUUGGCAAUUACUUCCGACCACGCGAGGAGCCUUCCUCUAUCAGUUUUGUGCAUGGCGGUUUCGGCCGUUGUAGCAUUUCACCUCUGAUCAUAAUAUCCAAGGUUCAUACAGAGAAUCACUUGAAAAGAAGAAGAAGAAGAAGAGAGGCAGAUGCAAAAAAGGCUAGAGGCAGCCCCGGCCACAUCCAGUUAGCAGUAUGGAGAAUUUAGGAAGGUCGGCUGAAUUAUUUGAGUGAUGGGAUAUGAGAAUUGAGAGAGAUGCAUUGCUCUUUGUUACUUUUAGGCUGGCAUUGAGGAGUUCGAUGAACUGGUUGCAGCGGUGUAACGUGAAGCUGACGAGGCGGAGGCGGCAGUCCCUCGGCUGAUCCAUCAUCGGCGGACAAUCUGCCGUGACCAUAUCGGGGCCGACCAGCUGUUGAUGGAAGACUACUUUGGCGAUAACCCUCGUUAUCCAUCAGAGAUUUUCCGCCGGCGAUUCAGAAUGUCGCAACAACUCUUCAUCCAUAUAGCGACGUGUUUGGCGCAGCGAUUCAGGUGCUUCACCUUGCGACGUGAUGCUAGUGGCCAAGUCGGUUUGUCGACAUAUCAAAAGUGCACUGCUGCAAUUAGGCAGCUUGCCUAUGUCGGGCCCGCUGACAUGUUCGACGAAUAUCUACAGAUGGGUGAAACAAUUACCCUAGAGACGCUGAGACAGUUUUGUAGGGGCAUCAAGGAUAUCUUCGGUCCGGAGUAUUUACGGAAGCCAAAUGCCGAUGAAUGCCAGAGAUUGAUACAUAUGCACGGGACUGUGAACCAUUUUCCAUGGAUGUUGGGCAGCAUCGAUUGCAUGCACUGGGAAUGGAGGAACUGCCCAGUGGCUUGGAAGGGGCAGUUCACUUCUGGAUUCAAAGGGAGACACCCCACGAUGAUCUUGGAAGCUGUUGCUGACUACCAUUUGCGAAUCUGGCAUGCGUAUUUUGAUGUCGCUGGGUCUAACAACGACAUCAAUGUUCUACAGUCGUCGCAUCUCUUCAAUGACGAGUGCCGGGGUGAGGGUCCGCAAGUCAGAUUCGUGGCCAACGGCACGUAGUACAACAUGGCAUACUAUUUGGCCGAUGGGAUAUACCCUCGUUGGCCCGUGUUUGUCAAGACGAUCCGGCAACCGGUUGGGCCGAAGCAAUCCUAGUUUGCGCGAAACACAAGAGGGUGCUAGGAAGGAUGUUGAGCGAGCUUUUGAUGUCCUCCAAUCGCGAUGGGCCAUUCUACGGUGCCCGUUACUACAAUGGCACGAAAAUGAUGUCGUCGAUAUCAUGUAUGCAUGUAUCAUAUUGCACAAUAUGAUAACAGAUGAUGAAGGAUUUGCUGCAGAGCGCUGGGCACCAGAAGAUGGGGCUAGUACAAGUCAUGGUAUUGCCACCGUCCCCUGCAGAUGGGUGUACCGCGUACUAAUGUGUUGUGAUAGAAUAGAACAAUUGUGUAAUCGACAAACGAAAAGAACGUAAAAAAGACACAUAAUUUACGUGGUUCGCCAAUUGGCUACAUCCACGGGCAAGAGCGGAGAACAAAUUGUA